rnacentral:lncRNA from 1 species
CGUGCGUGCGCCUGCGCACCAGCGCCGUCCGCCGCGAAGCCUCACGGGAAGCGGAGUUCCUAAGGCCGCCUGCGGCCCGGCAAUUACCCCCUGGGUCCUCUCACACUUAGCAGUGGGUGUCAGAUGGUGGAAGGGAACGCUCAGGGAGGCCCCGGGCGGUGAGUUGUCCCUCGGGCGGGGACGCCCUCGUGGGCAGUGCGGCGUGGACGGCGCAAGGAAGAACCCGGAGAGAUCCCAAGCCACGAGGCACCGCUUCCGGCGCAUUGUGAGGUCCCACCUUUCCCGCCGCCUGAGGUCGCGGCGGCUGCUCUUUCCCGGAGCAGCGUCCCUGGAGGCGCUGCCAGGGGGUGAGGCACCCACGCGUGCACCGUAUGUACCCCCCAGCGCGGCGCUUAGAACGACUCGCAUGAGUCGCUGCCUUGGGUUGGAACCGGUUACUCCGCCGCUUCGUACUGGACUGCAAAGUAACAAGUACUUCGCCGGGCAGCGGUGCCGACCCCGUGUGCUACGGCGAGAGGUGCUUAGCCUAGAGCCGACGAAAACAUGUCCCCAGGACUCCCUUUCCCUCCCAGACUGCGUCCCACCAGAUGGAGCUUUCCGUCUGUUUUAACCACCAGUGUAUUCCUGAUGCCUGACCCAGGCGCUGAAAUAUUUGUUGAACGAAUAAAUGUGUAGGUUAGGACUGACGACAGUCCGCGAAUUCUGGAACACGGGCUGAUUUUACUUUUGAACAAAUGAUGCACUGGAACUUCCUGACAGAGCUGACCUUUUAUAGGAACAUCAAUGGCAGUCACCGCUGGCAUUUUAGCAAAGGUUGUCUUGGUCAUAAUUUCCCCUUGACUGUGUUUCCAGCCCUUAAUCUAUAUCGGGUGGGACCUGGAAGUCUACCUUCUCGCCACCCCUCGGCAAAAGUUUGAGAAAGUGUUUGAGGCAGAGCCUCCUCUCUCAUAUGCCCUCCAUCUGCGAAUUAGAACGAAUUAUAAGUUCUACGGUGUCACAUAGGGGGUUAGCGGAGAGGAAGAGGGAAAGAAUCAAAUACAGGACGCUGCCUUAACCAAAGUUCUAAACUCUAAAUGUAAUAAUGUGCAUUUGUGAGUCCUCAGGAAGUUUCACAAAGGCUUUCCCUUUUUUCACAGAAUGUCUAGUAGGACUGGUGACUCCGAAUGGGAAAAACACAGGACCUAGACCUGCCCUGUCCAUUAGUGUAGCCCCUUGGCCACUUAGGGCCACUGAGCACUUGAAAUGAGGCUAGUUCGUUUAGGAGGCACUGGAAGUGCAAAAUACGCACGGGUGUCAGUUCGACGAAUGUGAAAUACCUCACUGAUCACUUUUUAUAUUGAUUGCACGUUGAAAUAUUUUGGAUAUAUUGCAGUAAAGAAAAUGUAAGCCGGGCACGGUGUCUCACACCUGUGAUCCAGCACUUUAGGAGGCUGAGGUGGGAGGAUCGCUUGGGCAGGAGUUAGAGACCAGCCUGGGCAAUAUAGGGAAACCCCCGUCUAUACAAAAAGUUAAAAAAAAAAAAAAAAAAAGAAAAAAGAAAAAAAAAUUAGCUGGGCAUGGUAGUUCCUGCCUGUGGUCCCAGUUACUCCGGAGACUGAGGUAGGAGGAUCCCUGGAGUGGGAGGUGGAGGCUGCCGUGAGUCGUCAUCUCACUACUGCACUCCAGCCUGCGUUGACAGAACGAGAUCCUGUCUCAAAAAAAAAAAAAAGAAAAUAUACUAUUAAAAUUAAUUUUACCUGUUUUUUUAAAUGUGACC